rnacentral:rRNA from 1 species
UACGUAGGUGGCAAGCGUUGUCCGGAAUUAUUGGGCGUAAAGCGCGCGCAGGCGGUCCCUUAAGUCUGAUGUGAAAGCCCACGGCUCAACCGUGGAGGGUCAUUGGAAACUGGGGGACUUGAGUACAGAAGAGGAAAGCGGAAUUCCACGUGUAGCGGUGAAAUGCGUAGAGAUGUGGAGGAACACCAGUGGCGAAGGCGGCUUCUGGUCUGUAAACUGACGCUGAGGCGCGAAAGCGUGGGGAGCAAACAGG